CUCCAGACUCCUACGGGAGGCAGCAGUGAGGAAUAUUGGUCAAUGGCCGUAAGGCUGAACCAGCCAAGUAGCGUGAGGGAAGACUGCCCUAUGGGUUGUAAACCUCUUUUAUGCGGGGAUAAAGGUGUCCACGUGUGGAUGUUUGCAGGUACCGCAUGAAUAAGGACCGGCUAAUUCCGUGCCAGCAGCCGCGGUAAUACGGAAGGUCCGGGCGUUAUCCGGAUUUAUUGGGUUUAAAGGGUGCGUAGGCGGUCCGUUAAGUCAGGGGUAAAAUUGCGGGGCUCAACCCCGGCGAGCCGUUGAAACUGGCAGACUUGAGUUGGCGAGAAGUACGCGGAAUGCGCGGUGUAGCGGUGAAAUGCAUAGAUAUCGCGCAGAACUCCGAUUGCGAAGGCAGCGUACCGGCGCCAGACUGACGCUGAGGCACGAAAGCGUGGGGAUCGAACAGGAUUAGAUACCCGAGUA
rnacentral:rRNA from 1 species